rnacentral:rRNA from 1 species
UACGUAGGGUGCGAGCGUUGUCCGGAUUUAUUGGGCGUAAAGGGCUCGUAGGCGGCCUGUCGCGUCGGGAGUGAAAGCCCACUGCUUAACGGUGGGUCUGCUUCCGGUACGGGCGGGCUAGAGUAUGGCAGGGGAGACUGGAAUUCCUGGUGUAGCGGUGGAAUGCGCAGAUAUCAGGAGGAACACCGGUGGCGAAGGCGGGUCUCUGGGCCGAUACUGACGCUGAGGAGCGAAAGCGUGGGGAGCGAACAGG